GUCACUAUUAAUAUAAAUAUUAGUGACAAUAUUAUGGUCACUAUUAAAUUUACUGAUAGUGACCAACCUUGUAAGUCAUCACUAAUACAUUAGUGACUCAAGUAUUAGAGAUAACGAGUGAUGACACAAAAUAUCAUCACUAAAAUUAUUAGUGACGAUAUAUCAUAUUUCUAGUGAUAGUUUUUAUUGCCACUAAAAAUCCAAUUUUUAGGGGCCAUUGCUUUGUCGGUCGGGUUCUUAAGUGGCCAAUGGCAAACUGGAUGUCCAGGGAGGUGGAUAAUGUAGGGGAAUGAUGAUGGAGCUGAGAAAAUAGAAGUGGAGAGA
rnacentral:lncRNA from 1 species